CACGUAGGGUGCGAGCGUUGUCCGGAAUUAUUGGGCGUAAAGAGCUCGUAGGCGGUGUGUCGCGUCGGCCGUGAAAACCUGCAGCUUAACUGUGGGCUUGCGGUCGAUACGGGCAUCACUGGAGUUCGGCAGGGGAGACUGGAAUUCCUGGUGUAGCGGUGAAAUGCGCAGAUAUCAGGAGGAACACCGGUGGCGAAGGCGGGUCUCUGGGACGGUACUGACG
rnacentral:rRNA from 1 species